GUGAAUCAUCGAAUCUUUGAACGCAAAUUGCACUCCUUGGUAUUCCGGGGAGCAUGCCUGUUCGAGGGUCGUUAGAAUACUAAAUCGAGGCGUCGCUCUUUUUUUGAGGGUGUUCGUGUCGGAAUUGAGCCGUCUUUACAAUGUUAAUUCAUGUCAAAGUGGUUUACAAUUCAUUCAUCCGGUACGAUUAAAACGUAUUUAAGAUCAAUUUUGUUCAAGAACGCGUGAUGACGUACUAUAUCAUGUAGUACGUUUGAACUGGGUCAUCAGGUU
rnacentral:misc_RNA from 1 species